GCACUUUAUAUGUCUGUAAUGCUCUGGAACCAAAAUCAUUUCAUGAAAAUCAGACUCGGAGAGCAAUGAUUUUGGCGUGCAUGUGUCAAAGGGUGAGGAAGGCUCAUGGAAAAUACAGCAAACUGCAAACGACUGGGAAGUUAUCUCCCUUAUACAAAUGUGUGUUGAAAGGGCCUACUGAGACCCGGCUCACCUCACACUAAUGCAGAAGUUAGAUAAUUAUCAGCACAGAACCAAGUUCAGGUCUGAAACACCAACCCCCCCCCCCAUCACAAAAUAAAUCAAACUGAAAGAAACGGCAUUUACUCAACAAACAAGUGCUAAGAGUCCUUUCUGAUGGCCCGGGAGAUGAAAAGCUGCAUGAUGUGCUUCCAUUCCUACUGAAACCAACCAUCUACUUAGUGGGGAAGGCAAUACACAUGUGGCUUGUUAGGCCCUAUGAGCUAACUGAGUCCCGUAAACUAAAUUUUCAGGAGUAAAGUCUUAGUCCAGGCUAUUCCAACAGAAUACCAUAAAAUGGGUUACUUAGAAGCCACAACUAUUUGUUUUCCACAAUUCUGGAUGCUAGAAGCCCCAGAUGAGCCAGUGUCCGGUGGAGGCCUUGUUCCUGCUUCAUAGUCACUGCUCACUGGAUCCUCACAUAAUGACCAAAAGGGCAAGAAUGAGGUGUCUUUGAUCACAGCACCGGUCACAAGAGCUCUGUCCAAUCACCCUCCAAUGCCACCACCCUGGAGGACGUGCCUAGUGCCCAGCUGUCAUCCCCUGGUGCUGAGUGUAGCUGCCACCCAGCAAUUAGCACGCCUGGGCUCUCCUUUGGAAAGGGGACAAGGAAGAACAAUACCACAGCAAGUGCUCCUGCACCGCAAAGCAGGUGAGUCCAGCAUGGACAAAACCAGGCCUUUGUUUCUCACUGUUGGAUAAACCACUAGCAAGGUGUGCCUGGUGGUUAACACUUGUCCAGGGCCGUGAAAGGCCUGUGAGGAAAAACGGAAAGAAAAUCCACCCGGCUUGCCAUGAGCUUCUACUUCAUGGGUGAUAUGCGUACUUAUGCAUAUCUCCUGUCUUGGUCAUCAGUGGGGGUUGCCAGGUAAAAUGAACCAAUUUAAAUUGUGUCUAGCUAAAUUUGCAUUGCAGAUAAACCAUGAAUAAUAUCUGCUAUACAGAUAUCCCCUGCAAUAUGGGUGACAUGCUAAGAAAAAUG
rnacentral:lncRNA from 1 species